rfam:Myotis brandtii contig285652, whole genome shotgun sequence.
GGCAGUUCUCCGGUGAUGCACCCCGGAAUUGGGCUUCCUCCUCUUUGGUUCCAGGUGCAUCACCUGAAAACUGCA